rnacentral:tRNA from 1 species
GUCUCAGUAGCUCAAUUGGAUAGAGCAUCCCCCUCCUAAGGGGAAGGUUGGCAGUUCGAAGCUGCCCUGGGACACCA